CGUACAAUACAAUGCGGCAAGCUAGGCUAACAGGAAAAACAAAAUAAAAACACGCUAAUAAAAAGUAAAUGUUCUCUUUUUUUAAUGUUUUUUACAGGUCAAGAAUCUCAGGACUGGACCUGGUUUGUUCUUCCAGCAGCAAUUUGCCUCUCUGGUAUCAUAAUUAUCAACCUGGUGCUCCACUUGCUGCUAACAGUUUACCAAAGGAGGAAAAAGGAAAGACAACUGAAGCAAACAGAUUCAACUCUCGACUCGGUGGCCUGCACAACGCAGACUCAACACGUUCUCAGGGGGAGCCUCUUCCUAACGGUUCCCCCCCAAUGCAGAAGCAAGGAGAAGGUCAACUUGAUUUCCAAGUAACCGCAGAAUGGAUAACAUUAUGAAAAGGUGUUACAUAAAGAAAUAAGUUCUCUUUGCAGCCAUUUUUUUUCCCGUUGUUCAGACAAGCAUUUCAAAUGUUAGAGGCCUUGCUAGAUGUUAGUUUGAAUGCUGGGUUUGUGCUGUAGUUCACUAAAGAGCUAUGUAGACAUAUAUAAAUAUAUAUAUUCAGUGGUCCUUCCCUAUGACGUGGUUUACCUUUGGUGACUGAUGUUUUGCAGAAUUUUUAGUGCAGUUUUCCAUCCUUUUUAUUUAUUUAUGUUUUUUUACAGCGCACUAUUUUCUGAUUGGCUGUUGACCUUGUCAAUCAACCUUCUCUGUGCCAUGUCUCCUGUGCAGAAUGCUUUCAGUUUGGCAAAAUCACAUAAAUCGCGGGCAGAUCUUUGUUUUCCUUCUAUGAAACGAGACGUAUUUUUCUAUGAAGGUUUGUACUUUGAGAGUUUAAAUGAGGAAAAAAGUGCUAAAAUGUUCAUGUAUAAGAAA
rnacentral:lncRNA from 1 species